UGUACCCUAGUCCACUGGUAUUGGAGGGUGGAUCCUAGUCCACUGGUGUUGGAGGAUGGACCCUUGUCCCCUUAUAUUGGAGGGUGGACCCUAGUCCACAGGUUUUGGAGGGUAGAUCCUAGUCCUAUUUUUUUUGGAGGGUGGACCCUAGUCCACUGGUUUUGCAGGGUUGAUCCUAGUCCACUUUUUUGGAGGGUGGAUCCUAGUCCCCUUAUGUUGGAGGAUGGACCCUAGUCCACUGGUGUUGGAGGAUGAAUCCUAGUCCACUGGUGUUGGAGGGUGGAUCCUAGUCCACUGGUGUUGGUGGAUGGACCCUAGUCCACUGGUGUUGGAGGAUGGAUCCUAGUCCACUGGUGUUGCAGGGUGGAUCCUAGUCCACGUUAUUGGAGGGUGGACCCUAGUGAACUGGUUUUGGGGGUUUUAUCCUAGUUUCCUUCUGGAGAAUGGACCCUGGUCCACUGGUUUUGGAGUGUGGAUCCUAGUCCACUGGUUUUGGGGGGUUUAUCCUAGUUCCCCUCUGGAGAAUGGACCCUAGUAGAC